rnacentral:lncRNA from 1 species
UGACUGGGUCAUUCCAGCAUCAUAUCUCAGCACAACAGUGAAGUUAAUCAGAGUGGCAAUUGUUGUCCAUGUUGUGUAUGUUGCAAUGCCAUUCUGAACCUGCAAGAUUAAAGAUGCUAAAUUAAAAAUGCAUAAUGUUUUUCAAAUGGUUUGAGAUGCUAUUAAGUAAAAUUGUAAUGGACUCUCACCAAUAUCCGUAUGCACCAGAGGUCUACUUUGUGAUAUUUGUUUAACCAGGCUCCAUAUUGUUUGAGUCCAUGACAGGAGAAGAUUAUCAGCAAAUAGUUUGUGAAGGCAAUCAAGGCAAGGAUAAUGAAUGCAGCAAUCAUCACCCUUUAAAGAAAUGCAAAGAAGUUUAUGAGGAUUUUGCAAACAGUCAACAAAAACGAGAGAGAAGAAGCCAGAUUAUAUUUAGCAGCAUGUUUACAAUCCAGGUUAUGAAGAAUCCAUAUGGCAACACAGCAGGACUGCAGUACAUUGGACCAUAAACAGUCCUGUAGUGGUGAGGAUGUAAACAUGCAUGAGUGACAGCCAAGUGUAGAUGACACCCCAGAUUGAGAAGGUCCAUCCCGAGGGAGUGAUUUCUGUAUUGUAUUUAUCUGAUAUCGCUCCAGUGUUGUUCCGAAAAGGACCUGCAAAUAGGAAAAAAUAAAAUUGUAGCGAUAUAUUUAACCAAAAUGUAAUUUAGCACCUAAUUCAUACUGGAAACAGUAUUAUAUUUAUCUUCUGCACAUACCAGUUCCCGGUCCAGCAAGUGCGUUGAAUAUGAUGCAGAUGAUGAAAAUGACAACAG